rnacentral:rRNA from 1 species
AUUGAACGCUGGCGGCAUGCUUUACACAUGCAAGUCGAACGGUAACAGGUUAAGCUGACGAGUGGCGAACGGGUGAGUAAUGCAUCGGAACGUGCCCGAUCGUGGGGGAUAACGCAGCGAAAGCUGCGCUAAUACCGCAUACGAUCUGAGGAUGAAAGCGGGGGACCGUAAGGCCUCGCGCGAUCGGAGCGGCCGAUGUCAGAUUAGGUAGUUGGUGGGUAAAGGACCACCAAGCCGACGAUCUGUAGCUGGUCUGAGAGGACGACCAGCCACACUGGGACUGAGACACGGCCCAGACUCCUACGGGAGGCAGCAGUGGGGAAUUUUGGACAAUGGGCGAAAGCCUGAUCCAGCAAUGCCGCGUGCAGGAAGAAGGCCUUCGGGUUGUAAACUGCUUUUGUACGGAGCGAAAAGGUCCUUUCUAAUACAAGGGGCUCAUGACGGUACCGUAAGAAUAAGCACCGGCUAACUACGUGCCAGCCGCCGCAGUAAAAC